UACCCGCUGAACUUAAGCAUAUCAAUAAGCGGAGGAAAAGAAACUAACAAGGAUUCCCCUAGUAACUGCGAGUGAAGCGGGAAAAGCUCAAAUUUAAAAUCUGGCAGUCUUUGAUUGUCCGAGUUGUAAUUUAGAGAAGUGUUACCCGUGCUGGACCAUGUAUAAGUCUUCUGGAAUGGAGCGUCAUAGAGGGUGAGAAUCCCGUCUUUGACAUGGACUACCAGUACAUUGUGGUAUGCUCUCAACGAGUCGAGUUGUUUGGGAAUGCAGCUCAAAAUGGGUGGUAAAUUCCAUCUAAAGCUAAAUAUAGACGAGAGACCGAUAGCGAACAAGUACCGUGAGGGAAAGAUGAAAAGAACUUUGGAAAGAGAGUUAAACAGUACGUGAAAUUGCUGAAAGGGAAACGCUUGAAGUUAGUCGCAUUGGCUAGAGAUCAACCUGGCUUGCUUGGUGUACUCUCUAGUGAAUGGGUCAACAUCAGUUUUGACUAUUGGAUAAGAAUUAGAGGAAUGUGGCUCCUUUAGGAGUGUUAUAGCCUUUAGUUGUAUACAGUAGUUGGGACUGAGGCUCUCAGCACGCCUUAUGGCUGGGUUUCGACCACAUACGUGCUUAGGAUGUUGGCAUAAUAGCUUUAAGCGACCCGUCUUGAAACACGGACCAAGGAGUCUAACAUGCAUGCGAGUAUUUGGGUGGUAAACCCAAGUGCGUAAUGAAAGUGAAAAUUGAGAUCUCUGUCAUGGAGAGCAUCGAUGCCCAGACCAGAACUUUUGGGACGGAUCUGCGGUUGAGCAUGUACGUUGGGACCCGAAAGAUGGUGAACUAUGCCUGAAUAGGGUGAAGCCAGAGGAAACUCUGGUGGAGGCUCGUAGCGAUUCUGACGUGCAAAUCGAUCGUCGAAUUUGGGUAUAGGGGCGAAAGACUAAUCGAACCAUUUACUAUGGUGGUUAAGAGGCAAACUGAAAGUGUUUGUCUAGUAACUAGUUGAGGGUUUGCAACAUUGUCAAAUUGCAGGGACGUCCUUAGAGCCUUUACUACCGCUACUACAUGGAAACAUAGUAGUAUGCACCAGGUUAAUGACCUUGGGUAUGGUGAAAAUGUAAAGGAUUGGAUAAUCUGCAGCCAAGUCCUAAGGGCUUUUCAAAGCCUAUGGAUGCAGUUCACAGACUAAAUGGCAAUGGGUUUCUUGAAUGAAGCUUAAGAUAUAGUCGGUCCCGUUACGAAAGUAAGCUAACAGAUGAAGACUUGUCAUUCCUCGACUACCAAAUGACAAGUCUGGAACUGUUGGAAAGCAUUAUAUGCCUUGGGAGUCAAUGCUAGUAGCUG
rnacentral:ncRNA from 1 species